CCAGGUCAGGACACGGUAAGGAUUGACGGACUGAAGGCUCUUUCUCGAUUCCGUGGAAAGUGGUGCAUGGCCGUUUUUAGUUGGUGGAUCGAUCCGUCUGGUUAAUUCCGUUAACGAACGAGACCUCGGCACUCCGAAUAGCGCGGCGGACGUCGCGGCCUCCGGGCCGUCUUCCGCACGAGCUUCUUAGAGGGACCGUCCCCCGCCGGGGAAGGAGGUGCGAGGCAACGACAGGUCUGUGAUGCCCUUAGAUGUUCUGGGCCGCACGCGCAUUACACUAACGCGUCCAACGGGUGACUCCCGACCCGAAGGGGCCGGGGAAUCCGCAAGGCGCGUCGUGAUGGGGAUUGAACGUUGCAAUUGUUGUUCACGAACGAGGAAUUCCUAGUAGGCGCGGGUCAUCAACCCGCGCCGAUUACGUCCCUGCCCUUUGUAC
rnacentral:rRNA from 1 species